UAUGGGUGUGCCAGCCGCCGCGGUAAUACGUAUGGAGCAAGCGUUAUCCGGAUUUACUGGGUGUAAAGGGAGUGUAGGUGGCCAUGCAAGUCAGAAGUGAAAAUCCGGGGCUCAACCCCGGAACUGCUUUUGAAACUGUGAGGCUGGAGUGCAGGAGGGGUGAGUGGAAUUCCUAGUGUAGCGGUGAAAUGCGUAGAUAUUAGGAGGAACACCAGUGGCGAAGGCGGCUCACUGGACUGUAACUGACACUGAGGCUCGAAAGCGUGGGGAGCAAACAGG
rnacentral:rRNA from 1 species